UACGAAGGGGGCUAGCGUUGCUCGGAAUCACUGGGCGUAAAGCGCACGUAGGCGGAUUGCUAAGUCAGGGGUGAAAUCCUGGAGCUCAACUCCAGAACUGCCUUUGAUACUGGCGACCUUGAGUCCGGGAGAGGUGAGUGGAACUGCGAGUGUAGAGGUGAAAUUCGUAGAUAUUCGCAAAGAACACCAGUGGCGAAGGGCGGCUCACUGGCCCGGUACUGACGCUGAGGUGGCGAAAGCGUGGGGAGCAAACAGG
rnacentral:rRNA from 1 species